rnacentral:rRNA from 1 species
GAAUUCACUAGUGAUUCAGGCCUAACACAUGCAAGUCGAACGGUAACAGGUCUUCGGAUGCCUGACGAGUGGAGAACGGGUGAGUAAUACAUCGGAACGUGCCCGAUCGUGGGGGAUAACGAAGCGAAAGCUUUGCUAAUACCGCAUAAGAUCUAUGGAUGAAAGCAGGGGACCGCAAGUCCUUGCGCGAACGGAGCGGCCGAUGGCAGAUUAGGUAGUUGGUGGGAUAAAAGCUUACCAAGCCGACGAUCUGUAGCUGGUCUGAGAGGAAGACCAGCCACACUGGGAGUGAGACACGGCCCAGACUCCUACGGGAGGCAGCAGUGGGGAAUUUUGGACAAUGGGCGAAAGCCUGAUCCAUCCAGGCCGCGUGCAGGAUGAAGACCUUCGGGUUGUAAUAUGAAGGGUACGGAACGAAAAGACUCUGGUUAAUACCUGGGGUCCAUGACGGUACC